rnacentral:rRNA from 1 species
GACGAACGCUGGCGGCGUGCUUAACACAUGCAAGUCGAACGGGUCUGCCCUGUUUUUUGCGGGGUGGGUCAGUGGCGAACGGGUGAGUAACACGUGAGUAACCUGCCCCUCACUUCUGGAUAACCGCUUGAAAGGGUGGCUAAUACGGGGUGUUCUGGCUGUGCCGCAUGGUGUGGCUGGGAAAGAUUCACUUUUGUGGUGUUUUGGUGGGGGAUGGGCUCGCGGCCUAUCAGCUUGUUGGUGGGGUGAUGGCCUGCCAAGGCUUUGACGGGUAGCCGGCCUGAGAGGGUGGGCGGUCACACUGGGGCUGAGAUACGGCCCAGACUCCUGCGGGAGGCAGCAGUGGGGGGUAUUGCACAAUGGGCGGAAGCCUGAUGCAGCGGCGUCGCGUGAGGGAUGGAGGCCUUCGGGUUGUGAACCUCUUUCGCCGGUGAAGAGGGUCCUGCUCUUUGUGGUGGGGUUGACGGUAGCCGGGUUAUGAAGCGCCGGCUAACUACGUG